rnacentral:misc_RNA from 1 species
AAGAGAAGAAGGUAUUACAGACGUAAAAAAAACCCAAAACAACAAAGAAAUUCGGUGGACAGAAUUUCCAAUUUGCCAAUUGAAAUCAUCCGUGAAAUUCACUUUCGCCUUCCACGGAUCGAUGCAGUGAAAACUAGUAUUUUGUCCAAAAAAUGGCAAAGCAUUUGGGCAUCUCAUCCUAGAAUUUUUUUGGACGAAAUUGAUUUUGGUGCCGACUAUUCACGAUACAGUGUUGCAGAUAAACCUAAAAGAGAUUCCUUCUUAACUUACUUGAUAAAGUCCUUAGAAAUCCGUCAGAAGCCCUCUGAAUACAAUUGUGAUGUCGACAAACUCUGUCUUCGAAUGACAGUUGAAAAUUCUCCUGCUGAA